CCGCAACCUAGCAACCACCAGCACUGAACUGGCACUACUCUCAACUGACACUACUAAGUUUGCUUAAAAGGUAAAGGUACCCCUGCCCGUACGGGCCAGUCUUGACAGACUCCAGGGUUGUGCGCUCAUCUCACUCUAUAGGCCGGGAGCCAGCGCUGUCCGCAGACACUUCCGGGUCACGUGGCCACUGUGACGAAGCUGCUCCGGCGAACCGGCACCAGAGCAGCACACAGAACGCCGUUUACCUUCCCGCUAGAAAGCUGUACCUAUCUACUUGCACUUAAUUGUGCUUUCGAACUGCUAGGUGGGCAGGAGCUGGGACCGAACGACAGGAGCUCACCCCGCCGCCGGGAUUCGAACCGCCGACCAUGCGAUCGGCAAGUCCUAGGCACUGAGGUUUUACCCACAGCGCCACCCGCGUCCCUAAGUUUGCUUAUAUGGCUUUUAAUCCAUGUUUACCCCCAACACAUUUUAAAAGGGCAUUGGAUGUCAAUCAGAUCAACGGAAGGGCCUGGUUAAAAAGGAACCUCUUUCCCUGGCGCCUAAAGGUGUAUAAUGAAGGCGUCAGGCAAACUUCACUGGGGAGAGCAUCCCAUAGAUGGGGACCCACUGCAGAGAAGGCCUGUUCUCAUGUUGCCACCCUCUGGACCUCUCAAGGAGGAGGCACACAAAGAAGGGCCUCAGAAGAUGAUCUCAGGGUCUGGGUAGGUUCAUAUGGAGAUAGGUGGUCCUUGAGGUAUUGCGGUCCUGAGCUAUUUAAGGCUGUAUAGUGUCCUCGAUCUGUUAGGAGUUGGUAUGAAACUGCCUGUAGCUAGGAAAAUGUCUACUGUGCUUAAACAAGUGAAACAUGAAAGUUUCCGAAAACCUGAACUGUUGUAGAUGUUACCUUUGAUGUGCUGAAAGGCAACUUAGUUUAAUAUCUAGGUGCUAGACGGCUUUUUGCAUUCCUUAGCAAAUGAUAAAUAUGUGGUAGCUAUACUGCAGAAAAUGUUUGCACGUUACAAAAUCCAUCAUAAAAGGGAUGUCUUUCCAGAAGAACCUUCCUUGGAAGGGGAAAAGAAGCAGAAAUGUGGAGGUAUUUAAAAGUGCCACUAGACUUUAGGGGUUUUUGGGGGGCUGUACAUAACUACUUUCUGGAAACUCCUUCCCAAACCUUGUUUCCCCAAGCAAGACUCUAGAAUUAAAUUCUUAUCAAAUCUAGAUGACCUUUCUUUUUAACAGAAAGAUUUAUGGGUUUUUAUAUACAUAUAUAGUGAAUCAACACUCUCUUUGACACAAAGGGAGGCUGUGUUUAGAAACUAGCAUAGAAAGCUGCACUGCACAUUGAGACAGUGUUAGAAAUAAGACGUGUUUUCCUUCCUGAAGGGCAAAGUGCUAAAUCUACCACUGAGUUUUAUUAUUUCACCAGUAGCACUUAGCCUAUAACAGAUCUAGUAAUAUUGCUAACUGCGGCUUCCUUUCAUCUGCUGAUGUAAAAUGGCAGAGCUUCAACACCUCCUUAGACAUGAAAAGAUUUUUACCUUGACUCGUGAUAACAGCUCCCAUUAAUCUUUCUCACUGUGAGCUGUCUGCAUUUUAUCCUAAAAGUGCUAAUGCUAAAGUUUUCAGAGAAGGCUUCAAGAUAGGAAAGAGGAGCCGGUCAGAAAAUUCUUUCUAAAAAGAUUUAAAAUUCUCUUUCAGUAAAUAAAUGUGGUUUUCAUUUUCUGCUUCAGCAAAAUGCAAUCAACUCUUUCAAAAAACCCCAAGAUUAAUUAUUGUUUCUUGGAGGUAUGCAAGACAGCCUCCUGGUUACAGUAGCUUCCCUAUUUAUUUAUAUUUUUGUAGGGGGAAAUGUUUGUAAGAUAGCUAAUUAGUUGCUGAUGGACCUUCUCUUCACGUUUGCCUCUGGGUGACAACAUAGAGCUAAAGAAGAAUACAAUAGAAUUGGUAAAGGUAAAGGACCCCUGGAUGGUUAAGUCCAGUCAAAGGCGACUGUGGGGUUGCAGCACUCAUCUCGCUUUCAGGGCAAGGGAGCCGGUGUUUGUCCACAAACAGCUUUUUGGGUCAUGUGGCCAGCAUGACUAAACUGCUUCUGGUGCAAUGGAACACCGUGAUGGAAAACAGAGUGCACAGAAACGUUGUUUACCUUCCCACCUCAGAGGUACUGUACCUAUUUAUCUACUUGCACUGGCAUGCUUUCGAACUGCUAGGUUGGCAGGAGCUGGGACAGGGCAACGGGAGCUCAAUCCGUCGCGCAGAUUCGAACCACCGACCUUCUGAUCAGCACCACCCGCACCUCCUUACUCUGUCCCAGCUCCUGCCAACCUGGCAGUUCAAAAGCACACCAGUGCUUACACAGCCCACUGCUCCAUGGAUGGAAGGAAUGCAUGAGGGCCCACUGGCCCCACCAGUGCACUUCCCAUUGGGUUUGAUGCAUAGGUAGAGCUGCUCCAUAUGAAGAGGGAGUCUGGUUGGGUCAGGUUCCUCCUUGCCUGGAGGAGAUUGGAUGUAGGGCAGGGGGCUGAUGGUCUAUAGCUCCACUAGUAGUGCUUUGUCCACAGGAAGUCCCAAAUUGAAUCCCUCUCAGGAGAGCUGGGAAGGGUUCCUGCCUGAAACUCUGGAAAGAUGGUACCAUUGUUGGCAAUGGAUUGCAUCUCCAGGGCUGAAGUCAUCCAGCUAUGUUAGCAGCAGCCAAGUGACCUCCCUAGGUAGUGUGUAUGGAAGUCCUGGACUGCCCAGGCGGCCUCGCUGAUGUGGUCCCGAGGAAAGGAAAGCAAUAUCUUUGGCAACAGUUGGGCUGCAGGAGUUGCCACAAGGAUGCCUACAAGAGUCCACUCUGGAUUUGUGUAGGGUUUACUCCUUAGCCUUUUUUUCUCCCAAAUAUACCCCACAAAGCGGCUGAGGUUUAGGAUCAGAGUUUCCCUUCUGCUAGAUGGGCUACCUUCCCAGGUGGAUGAGCCCCAUAUGCCCCUUCCUUCCCUCUACAACACAGGCUGAAACUGCCUUCUUGACCGCUGGACCCACUACACUGGUACCUCGGGUUACAAACACCUCAGGUUACUUUGGGUUACAGACUCCGCUAACCUGGAAGUAGUACCUCGGGUUAAGAACUUUACCUCAGGAUGAGAACAGAAAUCGUGUGGCGGCAGCGGGAGGCCCCAUUAGCUAAGGUUAAGAACGGUUUCAGGUUAAGAACAGACCUCCGGAACGAAUUACGUUCGUAACCAGAGGUACCACAGUAUUGGUUUCGUCCACUAACUCUGACUCCAUAUAAGGCAGAUUUUUAAGUUCCCAGGAAUAGGAAUUGAAUAACGGCCUUUCCCACACAGGUGGCAGAGAAACAUUUCCAUGGCAGGGAUGUUGGCACAACAUUAUAACCCCCCAUGCGUUCUUUCAACACAUGGGAGGGCUGCCAAAUAUUUCCUGGUAAAAUCGACAUAUAAUGUUACGCUGAUAGAAAUAUAGCAGAAACACUUUCCAGCUACCUAUGAAAUGCAAAUUACCAUACACAGAAAGUUAUAUACAUCAGGAGCAGCUAAAAAUGCCAGAUCAAAAAUCUUCAUGAUGAGUCGAUGCCUUUGGAGAAAUAUGGAAUAUGUCAAAGUAUAAGAGACAUAUUUUCUUUGCUGCUUUAUUUGCAGUGGUGGUUUCCCCUCAAGCCCCAGUCUCUCUUCAGCAAUUGCGUGCAACUUCACCAUAAAUGGAUAGGUCACUUGACAAAUUUAGGGAGAGAUAAUUCGGAAUGAUAGACUUUCAUGCCAUUGUCCAACUCAGCUGGGGAGAUAACAAAUCUGAAUAGGCGAUAAAUAUGUUGUCUUUGGCCUUUUCUUUUCCAUCAGUUCAACCUAAUUGGAGCCUUUGACACUAAGGUGUCAAUGCAGGAAUUGCUCCUUCAACUUUGUGGCAGGUGAUUUGCAUUUCAGAGUUUGACACAUUUAUAGUCUUUGAUCUUUUAACCACCAGCCUGCAUCCUUGUUUGGGUGUUUUGUUUUUUAAAAAACAACAGGUGAAGUGAUCAGCUCUUCUUAGGAACAACAAGGAAAACCUAGAUCAACCUUCCAGAUCCAGAUCCUAAACAUAUUUACCUGGAAAUGUCAUUCUUUGCUCAACAACACUUAAUUAUGUGCAGCGGAUUGUAGGCUUUAUAGUACAACUGUAUACUCGGAAGGAAGUCUCUGUAUGUUAAUGUUGCUUAAAGAUAAAGGGACCCCUGACCAUUAGGUCCAGUCGUGGCUGACUCUGGGGUUGCGGCGCUCAUCUCGCUUUAUUGGCCGAAGGAGCCUGCGUACAGCUUCCAGGUCAUGUGGCCAGCAUGACUAAGCCGCUUCUGGUGAACCAGAGCAGCGCAUGGAAAUGCCGUUUACCUUUCCGCCGGAGCUGUACGUAUUUAUCUACUUGCACUUUGACGUGCUUUUGAACUGCUAGGUUGGCAGGAGCUGGGACCAAGCAACGGGAGCUCACCCCGUCACGGGAAUUCGAACCGCCAACCUUCUGAUCGGUAAGACCUAGGCUCUGUGGUUUAACCCACAGCGCCACCCUCAUCCCAUUAAUGUUGCUUACUCUCAGGUAAUAAGGCUGCAAGCUUAGUCUGAUUUAUAGCAAACAAAGCAGCUGAUUAGUAGUGAUGCCAAUCAUGCUUUUCCAAACCUGGUUGGACUACAACUCCAUCCUCCCUGACUAUAAGCCAUUCUGGUUGAGGGUGAUGGGAGUUGUAGUCCAAAAUUUUUGGAAUGGCCCAGAACACAAAACCACAUGUUCUAACAUUAUGGUACUGUAGCUAUCUUUAUUUUAAAUAAAGUUCACAAAGGUUCACUACAACAGUAUGAUACAAACCGAAGGUGUACACUGGUUCCUGUUUAUUUGAACCCUCCAAGGGAUUUUAAAAUCCCCCGAAAGAUAGGUUCCAUAUGAUUCACUUAGAUCGCACAAUUUGUUCUGCAAUGUGUACAAUGAGGCACAAUUUAUUUUGGUUUUCGUAAGCAUGAGAAGGAGCUGUACAGGGCAUAAUACACUAGAACUGCUGUAGCUCAACAUGGAUGAAAGCCUGAGGAAAAGGGGACUAUUGUCCUUCCUGCCAUAGUCCUUUGUUCCCCAUACAGGACAUUCAGAAUUUCCUCUGGGUGAUGGCUUUUGGGUAAUGCAGAGAUUUGCAGGAGAAAGAGAGAGUUGCUUUCAUUAGUCUUGUCAUCUGGGCAGGGACACAGGUGGUGCUGUGGUCUAAACCACUGAGCCUCUUGGGCUUCCCAAUCGGAAAGUUGGCAGUUCAAAUCUGUGCAACGGGGUGAGCUCUCAUUGCUCUGUCCCAGCUCCUGCCAACCUAGCAAUUUGAAAGCACAUCAGCGCAAAUAGAUAAAUAGGUACCUCUGCGGUGGGAAGGUAAAUGGCAUUUCCAUGAGCUCUGGUUUUCAUCACUGUGUUCCGUUGUACCAGAAGCGGUUUAGUCCUUCUGGCCACAUGACCCGGAAAACUGUCUCUGGACAAACGCCUGCUCCCUCAGCCUGAAUGUGAGAUGAGCGCCGCUACCCCGUAGUCGCUUUUGACUGGACUCAGCUGUCCAGUGGUCCUUUACCAUCUGGGUAGUCCUGGGCUGCCCAGAUGAGAAGACCCUCUUGGCUUUGCUGAUGUGGCCCAAAGGAAAACAGGGCAAUAUGUUUGGCACCAGCUGGACUGCAGGAGUUGCCAGAAGGAGACAUACAAGAUGCUAUCUGACCGUCUUAGGGACUCCACUCCGGAUUUCCAUAGGGUUUGCCCCUUAGCCUUUUCUUCUCCUGAAGUUAUCCUGCAAGGAAGCGGAGGUUUACAGUCAGAGUUUUCCUUCUCCUUCCUUCCUUCCCAGGUUGAUAAGCCCCACUUGCGUCUCGAAAGAUAAAGACUGUACAGCGUAUUGGACCCCAACGUCAAACUGCUGGUAAUUUUAUCCAGCCACCCUUCUGGCUUCUGAGAUCUCAGCCUGCAUUGCCCACACAUUUUCAAACAUAUCUUCAAAACCGUUCUAGACUAGAAACUGUUUCCCCCAUAAAUUAAGAGUAAGAUUAUCCAAUAUCUUCAAAAGUGUGUCCUAGCAGACAGUCCUGACAACUGUGUUAGGAGCAUAGAAAGUUGCCUUAUGCCAGGGGUCAACAAACUUUUUCAGCAGGGGGCCGGUCCACUGUCCCUCAGACCUUGUGGUGGGCUAGACUAUAUUUUGGAAAAAAAUGAAUGAAUUCCUAUGCCCCACAAAUAACCCAGAGAUGCAUUUUAAAUAAAAAGGACACAAUCUACUCAUGUGAAAACACACUGAUUCCUGGACCAUCCGCUGGCUGGAUUUAGAAGGCGAUUGGGCCGGAUCCAGCCCCCGGGCCUUAGUUUGCUUACCCAUGCCUUAUGCUGAGUCCUUUACAAUGAUCCUUCCAGAUCAGUACAGUGUUGUCUUCGUGUACUGUCCAUGGUCCUGAAGGGUUUCAGACCGAGGUCUCUCCCACAGCUCCACUAGAAGAUUGCAAGGAUCAAACAUGGGGACCUUUGGUCCUUCUGCAUCAAUUUCUGGCCUAUGUAGUCACACAGCACCCAAAGCUCCUUCACUUUUUAGCAGAAGUCCCUUCCAGUUCUGCCUCCAGGACAUUACCAUCACUAAUUUUGAUCUCCGGAAGACUGAUGCAUCUGUCUGUGUGGUUUCACUUCUAACCUUUUAGUGAAUAAGAGAGCUAUGAUUGCCUGCCAUGGUCUGAUAAAUAUGUGCGGCAGAGCCUGGCAGAUCAAGUCAAAGAAAUUAGAGUUGAGCCAAGCUGUUUUUCAUCUGCGUCUUCCCCCACAGCUGCCAAUAUGGGCAUUAGUGAAUUGCAUUUCGCGUUGAAUCUAGUUCCAGGUAUAUUAACUACAGAGCUGCUGAUUUAAAUGCAACUGCCCCAGGUUUCUCUGCACAGUGAGCCAUUCACGUGCAACCUCUAGGCAUGAGACCAAAACUCAGGUAUCAACCCAGAUUUUGGCAGUACAUUCAGGCUCCUGCCUGACAAAUGGGACCAGGAUUAUAGGAAUCACAGCAGCCUCUAGUAUGGCAGAUGGGUCAAGGAUGUCAUUGUUGUUGUUUUAUGCAUUCGAAUGCUCCCAUCUGAUUCCAAAACCAAUGCAGACAUUGCAGGAGGUUCUGAGUGUGGAAAUCUGUCUUUUCAAUCACUCUCCUCUUCUAUGAACUGACCUUGGAAAUCUCUCACCACAGAAUCUUCUGAGAAGGAUUCUGACAAUGUUUUGACUGGGGCUGUCAACUCAUUAAAUAAUUUUAGCAGAUCAAUCUCUGGCUUAUGAACGAACCAAGCUUGAUUUUUCUAACACCACAGAAGCCCCUGUUGGAAUGACAGUAUAUCAUAAGGCAGCGUCAUUUUAGGGGGCUGGGAGGGGGAGGAAGUGUCCUAGAUCAUGCUUGGAAAAUCCAUUUUUAAAAUAAUUAUCAGAUCUGUUUUGGAAGGCUGAUUCUUUCAUUUUAAAAAGUUAUGGAUGGAUUUGGGAAAGCUGCUCCUCUACAAAGCCCGAACAACUUGUCAUGUAGCUUCCUCAUCUGACAAGAUUGCGGAAAGGAAAACAAAUGGGAGACGAUUGUUAUUCUGAGCAUACGCUUUAUAAAAAUGAAAUGUCAGGGUAAAAAACUUUGAUGGCAAUAGGAGAGUACGUUUUGGAACACAAAUUCCUCAUUUAUAUGGCGGUAGCCGCCAGAGGUUGUGGGGAGAGUGGAGCUUGCAUUUUGUUUGUUUUUUGUACACACUCAUCAGCAUAAAACAGUGGCAUUUUUUUGCAUUAGGGAGAACUGUGGAACACAGCAAUAUUGUAUGCAAAGGCAUCAGUCCGUGCCUAAAAGACGAGAAGGAAGAUCAGAUUCCUGCUCGUACUGCAACUUCCCACCAUAUUGUAUACCAAGCACAUUCAGCAGGGAAAACUUGCAUGUAGGAUCUGUAUGGGGCGUUUCUCAUUAAUCCAAGGGAAGCUUUGGCCCACCAGAUGUUGCUGAAUGACCCCUCCCAUCAGCACCAGAAAACAUGGCCGACUGCCAGGGAUGAUGGGAGUUGUAGUUCAGCAGCAUCGUUCAGCCCGGACACUGAGAUCCAGCACUGAGGGCCUUCUGGUGGUUCCCUCAUUGCAAGAAGUGAGGUUACAGGGAACCAGACAGAGGGCCUUCUCGGUAGUGGCGCCCACCCUGUGGAACGCCCUCCCUUCAGAUGUGAAGGAAAUAAGCAGCUAUCUUCUUUUUAAAAGACAUCUGAAGGCAGCCCUGUUUAGGGAAGUUUUAAUAUUUAAUGCUGUAUUGUUUUUAACACUUGAUUGGAAGCCGCCCAGAGUGGCUGGGGAAACUCAGCCAGAUGGGCGGGGUAUAAAUAAUAAAUUAUUAUUAUUAUUAUUAUUAUUAUUAUUAUUAUUAUCUGAGGGAACCAAAGCUCCCCCACACCGGCGAUAAUUCCUGCAAAUUGCAGAGUGGAUUUCAAGAACUGGCAUUCAAAUCCUUUCUCACCAUUUGGUCAAAAGGUAAACUGACUCCACUAUAAUGGAGCUGCAUUUUAAUGAUAUUUUAUGCAUUCAUAUCCAUUCCCUUAAGGAUUUGUUGUUACUUUUAAUAUUUAGAUAUCAAUAUCUGAGCCACUGUCAACAGAUUCCCCGCCCUUGCCCUAUGAUUAAUACAUUGUAUGUUAUCUCAUUCAGUCUCCCUAAUGAUGGCUUUCUUGGUUGUAUUAUUAAUGUAUUUUCCAUAAUAUUACCAAUUUCUUUAAUCAGUCUAAAAUGCCUGUUUUAGUUGUAAUAAGAAAAUUGGCUUUAAUUUGCAGUCGUGUAAACCCUGUGGUCUAAACCACAGAACCUAGGGCUUGCCGAUCAGAAGGUCGGCGGUUCGAAUCCCCAAGACAGGAUGAGCUCCCGUUGCUCGGUCCCUGUUCCUGCCAACCUAGCAGUUCGAAAGCACGUCAAAGUGCAAGUAGAAAAAUAGGUACCACUCCAGCAGGAAGGUAAACGGUGUUUCUGUGCACUGCUCUGGUUCACCAGAAGUGGCUUAGUCAUGCUGGCCACAUGACCCGGAAGCUGUACGCUGGCUCCCUCGGCCAAUAAAGCGAGAUGAGCGCCACAACCCCAGAGUAGGCCACGACUGGACCUAAUGGUCAGGGGUCCCUUUACCUUUACCUUUAAACCCUCUGCAAAGAGCUUAAUACAAACUAAGAAUUGCUGUAGAAUAAUUAUUAUUAAAUAAAAGCUGGAAUGUAAAGGAUGGACAUUUGAGGUGACAGGGAGUGAUAUGAAUCUUCUAGCUGGGGUGUUAGAUCUCUGAUGACACAGACAUGCCAGUUAACAGCUAAACGUUGCCAUUACAAAAUGGUAAUGUGAACUAGAUCUAAGCUGAUCUGUAUUGAGGUACCGGCAUGGCCUUUAAUUCCUAUAACAUUAUCCUAUUUACAUUUGUGCAAAAAUUGAAAUGAUAACUUAUCAAAAGACACCUAUGCGUACCAUUCAUACCAAAUAAAAUUUCAGACUAUUCAUCAGCUCACUUUAGCAAGUAUUCCAGUUAUGUAAAGGCAAGUGAGGAGACAGGAUAGCUAAAUUUGAUUGCUAAAUCCUAUACAGUGGUACCUCGGGUUACAUACGCUUCAGGUUACAUAUGCUUCAAGUUACAGACUCUGCUAACCCAGAAAUAUUACCUCGGGUUAAGAACUUUGCUUCAGGAUGAGAACAGAAAUCGUGCUCCAAUUGCACGGCGGUGGCAGCAGGAGGCCCCAUUAGCUAAAGUGGUACCUCAGGUUAAGAACAGUUUCAGGUUAAGAACGGACCUCCGGAACGAAUUAAGUACUUAACCUGAGGUACUACUGUACAAUACAUACUGAACUCUGUGGGGCUUACUUCUGAGUGUGUGUUUCAAAGAUUGGGGGAAAUUGAAGCUAUUUUGUGAGGCAAUGAAAGCUGGUGAUUAAGUGUUUAUACCGAAUUUACCAUAGGUCUUUAAAUCAGAGACACAAUACAUUGUCUUUGGAUUUCUUUGUUGAAAUUGUGCUUGGAAAAAGUGUACAUUUUGACAGGAAGGAAACCUCACUCUUCUCUGCUCAAAUAAUAACUACAAGCCUGUACUCUGUACUAUUUCUGAUCCUUUUGCGUUAGCUUAAAACGAGAAGCAGACAUUAAAGAAGACCAACCACACGGCGUCAUCUCCUUUCAACUUCUGUUAACAGGGGCAUUAAAAAGACCCUCCUCAAUAUCAGCUGGAAAAUGCCAAGUCAUAAAAGUUGUACUUAAAAGGUGAGUAGGUGUAAAUUCGGCACAUGAGACUGUUUUCAUCUAGGAAGCCGCUUGAUUAGAGGCCAGUUGUCUUAAUGAAUUGGGAAGUUGCUGUCACAUCUCAGUCAGUCGAGAUUGCCACUUCUGGGGGGAUCAAAUGUUCACAUGGGAGGUUCUCAGAUAUGGCAUAUUGGCCCUGAUCUUGCUAGUGUGUGACCAGAGGACACCGCCUUUGCAAGACACCAGUGAGAUCAAGAAACCCAGCCUGCAUAGUUGUGCGAAUCAGAUUCUGGGGCUGCUUCACACAUGACCCUGAGACAUUCAUCGUUCCAAGACAGAGGGUUUCAACCUUUUUGAGUCCACGGCUCCCUUGACCGGCUGAAGAUUGAAUGUUGCUUGGCUUCAAAUUGCUGAAUAAAUUGUUGGAGUGAUUAAAAAAACCCAAAACCUAUCACUCAGGCAGGAAAUCUUCUUGUUUUUUUAUGGUGUCACCAAGCACGCCUACGAUAUGAGCUGCACAGCUCGAAAACCUUUAACAUUAUGAGAUUACUUGGUGACCGAAAAGGUCUUUCCCCUCUCUGCCCUGAUUUUUACAAGGUGGAAGAAAAUUUAGAGACCCCCCAAAUAUGAAUUCUCCCUAGAUAUUAUAUAUUAAAACCCCUUUAGCCGCAGAAAAACGGAACAAGUC